GUGGGGAAUAUUGGACAAUGGGCGCAAGCCUGAUCCAGCCAUGCCGCGUGAGUGAUGAAGGUCUUAGGAUUGUAAAGCUCUUUCACCGGUGAAGAUAAUGACGGUAACCGGAGAAGAAGCCCCGGCUAACUUCGUGCCAGCAGCCGCGGUAAUACGAAGGGGGCUAGCGUUGUUCGGAAUUACUGGGCGUAAAGCGCACGUAGGCGGAUAUUUAAGUCAGGGGUGAAAUCCCAGAGCUCAACUCUGGAACUGCCUUUGAUACUGGGUAUCUUGAGUAUGGAAGAGGUGAGUGGAAUUCCGAGUGUAGAGGUGAAAUUCGUAGAUAUUCGGAGGAACACCAGUGGCGAAGGCGGCUCACUGGUCCAUUACUGACGCUGAGGUGCGAAAGCGUGGGGAGCAAACAGGAUUAGAUACCCGUGUAGUCC
rnacentral:rRNA from 1 species